rnacentral:lncRNA from 1 species
AUGAACAGGUUGAAACUUCAAGCAACUGCCCGAAAAGACCAGUCCUGCUGGAUCCAGCGGCCACCAUCAGUCACCAGCCCGCUGCCACUGGGCUUGGCUGGGGGGGCAGAGGUGGUGGUCCCCAGGGCAGCCUCCAGCAGCUCCCACCACAACCAUCCUUUCAAGCCGAUCCUGGGAGUUUUCAGAGCACGACCAAGUGACACAUUUCCAGAUGUAGCAGAAACUCCUAAGACCCGCCUGAAGAAGGGCCAGUUCAGUUGAACCACUAAAAAGCAGAAGACGGAAGCUGGGCAGCUUCACUUUUUUUUAAUGAUAUUUGUUAGGCACUUACUUUAUGCCAGGCACUGUACUAAGUGCUGGGGUAGAUAUUCAUUCAUUCAUUCUAUCACUCAAUUGUAUUUACUGAGCACCUACUGCAUGCACAGCACUGUGCUAAGGGCUUGGGAGAGUAUCCCAGCUCUGCCACUUGUCAGCUGUGUGACUGUGGGCAAGUCACUUCACUUCUCGGUGCCUCAGUUACCUCAUCUGUAAAAUGGGGAUUAACUGUGAGCCUCAUGUGGGACAACCUGAUUACCCUGUAUCAACCCCAGUGCUUAGCACAGUGCUCUGCACAUAGUAAGCGCUUAACAAAUACCAACAUUAUUACAAUACAACAAUAAACAGACACAGUCCCCGCCCACAAUGAGCUUUCAGUCUAGAGGGGGAGACAGACAUUAAUAUAAAUAAAUAUAUGAAUUAGAUACAAAUUAAUCAGGUUGGAAACAGUCCAUGUUCCACAUGGGGCUCACAGUCUCCCAUAGCAAUUCUUCACGGGAUCAGACAGACCCCAGAAGAGGCCCUUAUCUCCCCUAGUUACAGUGCAUUUUAAAAGAACACUUUUCGCUGCCUAACAGAAACCAAAUCGAUCAGUCAAUCCGUGGGCAUGUACUAAGCACAGGGCACUGUACCAAGUGCUCGUUAGAGAACAGCAGAGGAAGCAGCUUGGCUUAGUGGAAAGAGCACGGACUUGGGAGUCAGAGGACAUGGGUUCUAAUCCCACCUCCGCCACUCAUCUGCAGUGUGACUUUGGGCAAGUCGCUUAACUUCUCUGCGCCUCUGUUACCCCAUCUGUCAUAUGGCGAUUAAGACUGUGAGCCCCAAGUGGGACAACCUGAUUACCGUGUAUCUACCCCAGCGCUUAGAACAGUGCUGGCACAUAAUGAGCACUUAACAAAUACCAUAAUAAUAAUAAUAAAAGCACUAUCCCCUAUCUCAAGGAGUUUUCACCAAAACUACUGCCUCCAAAAACAGAUUUUGGGCCUCAACAUAAUUGGGAGGUGGGAAGAAAAAGCCUUAGUUUACUGAGAUGUGAUUCUCUUACAAGACCUUCAAGAUCCUACCUAACAUUGUGGCUGUAAACAGAGAUCUAGUUCCAGUGGUUUUCUCAAGUAAUAAUAAUAAUACUAAUAAUAAUGAUAAUGUUGGUAUUUGUUAAGUGCUUACUAUGUGCAGAGCACUGUUCUAAGCACUGGGGUAGAUACAGAGUCUAUCAGGUUGUCCCACGUGAGGCUCACAGUCUUAAUCCCCAUUUUACAGAUGAGGUAACUGAGGCACAGAGAAGUGAAGUGACUUGCCCACAGUCACACGGUUGACAAGAGGCAGAGCCGGGAUUCAAACCCAUGACCUCUGACUCCCAAGCCCGUGCUCUUUCCUCUGAGCCAAGCUGUUUCUCUAAUGAUGAUGAUGAUCGCAUUUGUUAAGUGUAAAACUCAUUGCUCCCAAGGCUUUCCCUCUUCCCGGGUUUCCAUUUCCAGCCUGUCCCAUUUAGAAGUCACUGGCUUCUGAGAGGGGGGCGAAGAUUGUGUAACUGAGCAUUGUAAAAACCCCGGCCUCUCCUGGCUUCCUCUACUGGCUUGGCAGGGAGGUGACUCCCUCCCUUCAACUGCUCUGGCUAGCUGACCGUGGGGGGGUCUAAUGGAUAAAUAAAAAUGAUGAUGGCAUUUGUUAAGCGAUUACUAUGUUCAUUCGUUCAAUCAUAUUUAUUGAGUGUUUACUGUGUGCGGAGCACUGUACUAAGUACCUGGGGAAGUACAGUACAACAGUAAUAAGCAGUGACAUUCCCUGCCCACGACGAGCUCACAAUCUACAGUGUGGGAAACGGACGUGGUGUGAGAAAUACAAGCUAAUCAGGUUGGACACAGUCCCGGUCCCACGGGGAGUCACAGUCUCAAUCCCCAUUUUACAGAUGAGGUAACUGAGGCAUAGAGAAAUUAAAGUGACUCGCCCAAGGUCACACGGCAGAGAAGUGGCUGAGCGGGUAUUAGAACGCAGGUCCUUCUGACUCCCAGGCCCCUGAUAUAUCCACUGGGCCGGGCUGCUUCCCAUCGGAUCCUACCCCGGCCAUUCGGGUGGUGAACGGAACCUCAAAAAGUCAUCUGAGUCUAGGUGAUUUUGGAGGAUGAGGGGACACAGAGGGGUCACAGAGACAGAGGUGGCCAAAGGGUGGAAGAGAAGCUAGUCUCAGAAUGACGGGGUGAAAAGGGAACUAAGCAUGAGAUAAACGGAUACGAACUUUCUUGAACCCCCUCUAGCUUCAGCUCUCUAUGGGCAGGGCACGUGUCUGCUAAUUCUGUUUCACUGUACUCUCCAUGGAGUAAGCAUUCAAUAAAUACCAGCGACUGGACCUGCUUGGCUGUGCGAAGUGGAUCAUAUUCAUGUAGAUACAUGUCCACCUCCAUGACCCCGACGUCUGCAGAAAGAAUUGCAAACGUGAGCAAGAGGGCAUGGUUGUGCCUAGCAAAACGUACAUUUGCAAACGCAUGAAAAUACACAUAUCCCAAAGCACACGCUUUUACGUGGUCUCUUAAGCGCUCACAUUCACGGACAUACACAAGCGCAACCCCCUGAAGGACUCACAUGUAUCCCAAACCCUGAAGAGGGGGAGUCACAGCGAGACGAGGAGGAGCGAAGGAGGGGCAGAGGUGGGGAGAAGUCCUCCGGGGGCGGGUGUGAGAUCUCAGUCGGCCUAGGAGUGGGCAGGGCUGGACCUGCUUCAU